rnacentral:rRNA from 1 species
ACGCUGGCGGCAGGCCUAACACAUGCAAGUCGAGCGGUAGAGAGAAGCUUGCUUCUCUUGAGAGCGGCGGACGGGUGAGUAAUGCCUAGGAAUCUGCCUGGUAGUGGGGGAUAACGUUCGGAAACGGACGCUAAUACCGCACACGUCCUACGGGAGAAAGCAGGGGACCUUCGGGCCUUGCGCUAUCAGAUGAGCCUAGGUCGGAUUAGCUAGUUGGUGAGGUAAUGGCUCACCAAGGCGACGAUCCGUAACUGGUCUGAGAGGAUGAUCAGUCACACUGGAACUGAGACACGGUCCAGACUCCUACGGGAGGCAGCAGUGGGGAAUAUUGGACAAUGGGCGAAAGCCUGAUCCAGCCAUGCCGCGUGUGUGAAGAAGGUCUUCGGAUUGUAAAGCACUUUAAGUUGGGAGGAAGGGUUGUAGAUUAAUACUCUGCAAUUUUGACGUUACCGACAGAAUAAGCACCGGCUAACUCUGUGCCAGCAGCCGCGGUAAUACAGAGGGUGCAAGCGUUAAUCGGAAUUACUGGGCGUAAAGCGCGCGUAGGUGGUUUGUUAAGUUGGAUGUGAAAUCCCCGGGCUCAACCUGGGAACUGCAUUCAAAACUGACUGACUAGAGUAUGGUAGAGGGUGGUGGAAUUUCCUGUGUAGCGGUGAAAUGCGUAGAUAUAGGAAGGAACACCAGUGGCGAAGGCGACCACCUGGACUAAUACUGACACUGAGGUGCGAAAGCG